rnacentral:ribozyme from 1 species
UCCCCAGCAACUCCUAUCCCUACCUCCUCGUGGUACCGGCCGGAAACGAUGAGCAACCAUAGGGAAGAUCGGGUAACCCACCCCGGCGGGGACUUUGGUCGUAGGCUGACAGGGAAGG